rnacentral:rRNA from 1 species
UCGAGAAUCUUCCGCAAUGGACGAAAGUCUGACGGAGCGACGCCGCGUGAUUGAUGAAGCCCCUUUGGGGCGUAAAGAUCUUUUAUGAGGGAAGAAGUUUAUUGACGGUACCUCAUGAAUAAGAGGCUCCUAAUCUCGUGCCAGCAGGAGCGGUAAUACGAGAGCCUCGAGCGUUAUCCGGAAUUAUUGGGCGUAAAGGGUGCGUAGGUGGCGUUGUUAGUCGAGUGUUAAAUCUCCGGGCUUAACCUGG